rnacentral:rRNA from 1 species
GUAGGGAGCAAGCGUUGUUCGGAAUUAUUGGGCGUAAAGAGCGCGUAGGCGGCUAGGCAAGUCUGAUGUGAAAUCCCACAGCUCAACUGUGGAACUGCAUUGGAAACUGCUUAGCUGGAGUGCGGGAGAGGAGAGUGGAAUUCCCAGUGUAGAGGUGAAAUUCGUAGAUAUUGGGAGGAACACCGGUGGCGAAGGCGGCUCUCUGGACCGCAACUGACGCUGAGGCGCGAAAGCUAGGGGGGGAGCGAACGGGAUUAGAUACCCCGGUAGUCCUAGCCGUAAACGAUGGGCACUAGGUGUGGGAGGUAUCGACCCCCCCCCUUCUGUGCCGCAGCUAACGCAUUAAGUGCCCCCCGCCUGGGAGUACGGUCGCAAGACUA